UAGACAGUGUUAAGAUGGGUUCUUAAAAAAUAUGUAUACAACUAAUUUGAUUUAACUGUUUAGCAUUUGAAGUCAUUAGAACUUUUUUUUUUUUUUUUUGUCUUUCCUAGGCCUGGGAACCUCCAUAUGCCCUAGGUGCAGCCCUGAAAAAGCAAACAACCAACCAACAAGAAUAGGGAGACCAAAUCAGGCAGAUACUUGAUAUGCUUGUCCCUUUCACGUAUCCUUUGUUAGGAGAGUGUCACAAGAAAGGCAGGUUCUAGGACGGCUUCUCCUUGAGUCCUGUGGGUUGUGAGUCAGUCUGGGUGCAGCACUGUGCUCACUUUUCCAUCAGCCUGAGAAAACGCUGAGAAAGAAGAGAACCAUGGCCUGAGUUUCCCACUCGCCUCUGUCCCAGCCCCAGCGACAGUUUAUGGAAGACCUUUACCAGUACGUACAGGUGGGAAUCUUGCCUUUUCUCUCCUACCAGAGAUUUCAUACUUACCGAUGCACCAGCUUUCCCCAUAAACUAGCUCCCAGGCCCUGUGAUCACUGCCCUCUCCCUCCCCUCAGCUGCUUUGUUGUUUUGCUGUCUCUGUGAUGGUCCUCAAGACUCAGGUCCAGGGCUGGUCUCCAUCGAGUCUUUCAGUGGAAGCAGAGAAGAGCCAUUUCCCCACAUCCAUUCCUGACCCGUUGUUCCCAGAACGUGGGCCUUGCCAUUGUGGGCACCACCCACUGCUGCUCUGCCAACCCCAGCCCUGCCUUGGGCACGGGCUGACUCCUGUAGGCUUGUGGAGAUCGCGUGCCCUCCUGCCUACGUUUCAGAAGUCAAAGCUCAUUCUUGCUCUUCUUUAUCUUGUCUCUGCAUCAUGGGUGAAUCAGCAUCUGGGCCGACCCAUGGGGCUCGGCUGCUCGUGCUGUAUCUGAGUCUGGACCUGGGACUCAACAGGACCCUAGGUCUCUGACUUUCUAGCCACCAUCACACUUUCUGGCUUCUCCUCCCAGCAUGUUCUGUGUCCUAGCCUGAGAAUCAACUUGGAGGAUGUCUCCAGUGUCUGCCGUGUCCCCCAAGUUAAGUGACUGAGCCUCUCACCAGCCCUGUGUAGGCAGCAGCACUGGUCACUGGCAGGCCUCCCCAGAUUCCUCUCCUGGGGUGUCUGUGUCUUUCAUGCCAUUGGCACCUGGCCAGAGGUAUGUCUCCGGGCAGCCCUCUUCCAUGCACCUGCUGAGGCUCUGGAAAGUGCCUCUUGUUUUCUCCGCUGCCUGGGUUUCCCCCAGGCGAUGGGUUUGGGGGACUGGCUGAGCACUGUAAUAUCCAGAGAGUCCAUGGGGUUUUAACAAGCACAGACUGUCUGGAAAGUGUCUUCAGACUCUUCACACUCCUUUGACUGGAGACCAUGUCUUCAAAAAUCCUCUUCCUUUGCGCCAGAGCUUCAGGGGAGAGGGUGCCCUGCACGCCUCUGGUGUCUUAGGUUCCUGGGAGCAGGAAGACGGGGAUUCAAGAGCACAUGUUUUAUUGAGGGAAAACACUCAGGAGGAGUCUGUGGGAGAGGGAGAGAAGCAGAGAAAAGCAGAAGGAAGGGGCCGAAAAGGAUGCUUUCUGAGGCCAAGGUCAGCUUUGUCCUGCUUCAUUGUGGGGGAUGGUCAAUCCUGUAGCUCAGAUCACAGCCAGGAUGGGUCAGGGGCCAAGGUACUUAUAUUAGUCAGUCAGUCCUUGGACAACCCCAGGCCAUGGGGAACUCAGCCUUCAGGGAGCAGUUCUGAGGACAGAGCCCCUGCUUUAGCCUUGGCAUCUGGGGGAUGUAGUGCCAACUGCCAGGGGAUAUCUGAGCUGGCACUGACUGCAGUGGGAGCUCAGGAAGAAGGAAGCUAAUUCUUACUGAAGGGCUGCUGUGAGCGGGUGUGGGGAGCUUCUGCAUCCAUCUUCUCAUUUAAUUCUUUUUUUUAAUUUAUUUUUUAUUCUUUUUGUCUUUUUAGGGCCACACCUGCAGCAUAUGAAAGUUCCCAGGCUAGGGGUCGCAUUCCCACAGCCACAGCAACACCAGAUCUGAGCCACAUCUGUGACCUACGCCACAGCUCAUGGCAAAGCCGGAUCCUUAACCCACUGAGCGAGGCCAGGGUUAGAACCUGAAUCCUCAUGGAUACUCGUCAGGUUCGUUAACCACUGAGCCAUGGUGGGAACUCUGUUUUUUUUCUUGCUCUUUUUUUUUUUUGGACUUUACGUAUCCUGGAUAUAAAUUUAUUGUUAGUGUUAUAUUUGGUCUAUGGCUUGUCUUUUCUAUUCGAUGGUGGUUAUUUUAAACCUUAAUGCAUCGUAUUUUUCCUCUAUGGUUUGUGUUGUCUGUUUUUCAUAAUAUUUUUCUUCUAGUUUAUUGAGAUAUGAAUGGCAUACAGCACAGUAUAAGUUUAAGGUGUACAGCAU
rnacentral:lncRNA from 1 species